CAGGCUUAACACAUGCAAGUCGAGGGGCAGCAUGGUCUUAGCUUGCUAAGACUGAUGGCGACCGGCGCACGGGUGAGUAACACGUAUCCAACCUGCCGUCUACUCUUGGACAGCCUUCUGAAAGGAAGAUUAAUACAAGAUGGCAUCAUGAGUCCGCAUGUUCACAUGAUUAAAGGUAUUCCGGUAGACGAUGGGGAUGCGUUCCAUUAGAUAGUAGGCGGGGUAACGGCCCACCUAGUCUUCGAUGGAUAGGGGUUCUGAGAGGAAGGUCCCCCACAUUGGAACUGAGACACGGUCCAAACUCCUACGGGAGGCAGCAGUGAGGAAUAUUGGUCAAUGGGCGAGAGCCUGAACCAGCCAAGUAGCGUGAAGGAUGACUGCCCUAUGGGUUGUAAACUUCUUUUAUAAAGGAAUAAAGUCGGGUAUGCAUACCCGUUUGUAUGUACUUUAUGAAUAAGGAUCGGCUAACUCCGUGCCAGCAGCCGCGGUAAUACGGAGGAUCCGAGCGUUAUCCGGAUUUAUUGGGUUUAAAGGGAGCGUAGAUGGAUGUUUAAGUCAGUUGUGAAAGUUUGCGGCUCAACCGUAAAAUUGCAGUUGAUACUGGAUAUCUUGAGUGCAGUUGAGGCAGGCGGAAUUCGUGGUGUAGCGGUGAAAUGCUUAGAUAUCACGAAGAACUCCGAUUGCGAAGGCAGCCUGCUAAGCUGCAACUGACAUUGAGGCUCGAAAGUGUGGGUAUCAAACAGGAUUAGAUACCCUGGUAGUCCACACGGUAAACGAUGAAUACUCGCUGUUUGCGAUAUACGGCAAGCGGCCAAGCGAAAGCGUUAAGUAUUCCACCUGGGGAGUACGCCGGCAACGGUGAAACUCAAAGGAAUUGACGGGGGCCCGCACAAGCGGAGGAACAUGUGGUUUAAUUCGAUGAUACGCGAGGAACCUUACCCGGGCUUAAAUUGCAGAUGAAUUACGGUGAAAGCCGUAAGCCGCAAGGCAUCUGUGAAGGUGCUGCAUGGUUGUCGUCAGCUCGUGCCGUGAGGUGUCGGCUUAAGUGCCAUAACGAGCGCAACCCUUGUUGUCAGUUACUAACAGGUUCCGCUGAGGACUCUGACAAGACUGCCAUCGUAAGAUGUGAGGAAGGUGGGGAUGACGUCAAAUCAGCACGGCCCUUACGUCCGGGGCUACACACGUGUUACAAUGGGGGGUACAGAGGGCCGCUACCACGCGAGUGGAUGCCAAUCCCCAAAACCUCUCUCAGUUCGGACUGGAGUCUGCAACCCGACUCCACGAAGCUGGAUUCGCUAGUAAUCGCGCAUCAGCCACGGCGCGGUGAAUACGUUCCCGGGCCUUGUACACACCGCCCGUCAAGCCAUGGGAGCCGGGGGUACCUGAAGUGCGUAACCGCGAGGAGCGCCCUAGGGUAAAACUGGUGACUGGGGCU
rnacentral:rRNA from 1 species